rnacentral:rRNA from 1 species
CCCGGGUCUUGUACACACCGCCCGUCACACCAUGGAGCGGGUUCACCAGAAGUAGCUAGCCUAACCGCAAGGGGGCGGUUACCACGGUGAGAUUCGUGACUGGGGUGUA